CAGCGCCACGCCCACUUCAAUCGUCAAAACAUCGCAACUCGUGGUAACGUCGGUUGCCUCCACAACCACUGUUCCAUGGGCUGUUCGGUGUGACUGUUCGAGUUACUAAGUGUGCGCAGGAGGAGCGGCGCAGCGAUGCAGCUGCGCGCGGACGGCGACAACGGCAGCAUGCUGCGCGAGCUAGAGUGCCUGCUGGGCGGCGCCGGCGCUGGAGACGCGGCCG